UCAGACACACAUCAUACACUCUGGAUAUGCAGUCUAUAAUAGGUCACCAAUAAAUUUUGUUUAUUCGAGUCGGGACAAAGAAAGACUAAAUAAAGACUAAAUUAAAAAGCAGUACACGGUACCUCAUCUGGAGUUGGGAAUUUGAUGGAUACAAUGAAGCAUAUGAUACUAUGAUAGUCAUUUAUAUGAGGAAGGAGCCGAAGAAUGUAAGAAUCAUUCAAUUAGUUUCAUCAUGCNCACGGUACCUCAUCUGGAGUUGGGAAUUUGAUGGAUACAAUGAAGCAGAUGAUACUAUGAUAGUCAUUUAUAUGAGGAAGGAGCCGAAG
rnacentral:lncRNA from 1 species